rnacentral:rRNA from 1 species
UACGUAGGGUGCGAGCGUUACUCGGAAUUACUGGGCGUAAAGCGUGCGCAGGCGGCUUUGCAAGACAGAUGUGAAAUCCCCGGGCUCAACCUGGGAACUGCAUUUGUGACUGCAAGGCUAGAGUACGGCAGAGGGGGAUGGAAUUCCGCGUGUAGCAGUGAAAUGCGUAGAUAUGCGGAGGAACACCGAUGGCGAAGGCAAUCCCCUGGGCCUGCACUGACGCUCAUGCACGAAAGCGUGGGGAGCAAACAGG